AGCGGCUACGGCUCCCCNCGAGCCGCCUCCGCCCAACUUUCUCCCUCGGCUUUCCUAGUUUAUUUUCUUUCAGGCGCCCUAAUGGGCGGUUUUGACUUCUUGGUGGCACUGCGUAAUAAGCCAGUGUCACCCCUCUGACUCCCGUCCCCGCACGCGUGAUCUUGUUAAGGAAUUAGUCCUUUUGCGCGGAGUUCGGUUGAAUGAGAAGAAUAGGUUGGCAGCACAGACUUGUGAGAGGAAGUAGAUGAAAAAGAGUCUUUGGCACUUGUUUAGCCGGAAUCUGAGAAUAAUUUUGGAAAGUAUUCUCUGGAACAAGGGGGUGGGCAGAAGCUGGCUCCUGUAAAAGGACUCCCUACAGGAAAACGGAGACCUGUAAUGUAGAACGACCGCCUCGCCUUACGGAUGGGAAGCUGAGGACAGUCGUCGCUGUAAAACUUUGACAGGUGCCCAAUAUGAGAUGAAAAGAACAAGGGAAACGGGCCUAAGUCGUGUGAUAAGGGGCUCCAGGAAAGAAGCACCCCUCUGAAACUGGCCAGUAAGUCGUGUGAGACAGUGAUGGAGAAGACAGUAUGAGAAACAUGAAAGUUUUCGUUGUCUAAAAGGUAAUGUUGACAGAAUUCAAUAAAAAACUUUAAAAGAG
ensembl:lincRNA 4930426I24Rik RIKEN cDNA 4930426I24 gene